CCUGGUUGAUCUUGCCAGUAGUCAUAUGCUUGUCUCAAAGAUUAAGCCAUGCAUGUCUAAGUUCAAGCGAAAAUAAAGUGAAACCGCGAAUGGCUCAUUACAUCAGUUAUGGUUCCUUAGAUCGCACUUACUACUUGGAUAACUGUGGUAAUUCUAGAGCUAAUACAUGCGCUGGGCUCCAACCCUCGUGGAAGGAGCGCUUUUAUUAGAUCAAAGCCAAUCGGGCCUUCGGGUCCGUUUACUUGGUGACUCUGAAUAACUUUGCUGAUCGCAUGGUCUCGUACCGGCGACGUAUCUUUCAAGUGUCUGCCUUAUCAACUGUCGAUGGUAGGUUAUGCGCCUACCAUGGUGGUAACGGGUAACGGGGAAUCAGGGUUCGAUUCCGGAGAGGGAGCCUGAGAAACGGCUACCACAUCCAAGGAAGGCAGCAGGCGCGCAAAUUACCCACUCCCAGCUCGGGGAGGUAGUGACGAAAAAUAACGAUACGGAACUCUUACGAGGCUCCGUAAUCGGAAUGAGUACACUUUAAAUCCUUUAACGAGGAUCUAUUGGAGGGCAAGUCUGGUGCCAGCAGCCGCGGUAAUUCCAGCUCCAAUAGCGUAUAUUAUUAUUGUUGCGGUUAAAAAGCUCGUAGUUGGAUCUCGGUUUCGGGCGAGCGGUGUACCUUGCGGUAUUUACUGUUUGCCCGGACGAUUUUGUUGGUUCGUUUAUGGUUCUCUUAACCGAGUGCCAUAAGUGGCCAGCACGUUUACUUUGAAAAAAUUGGAGUGCUCAAAGCAGGCGCUACAGCCUGAACAUUAGUGCAUGGAAUAAUGGAAUAGGAUCUCGGUUCUAUUUCGUUGGCUUUCGGAGUCGAGGUAAUGAUUAAUAGGGACAGACGGGGGCAUUCGUACUGCGACGUUAGAGGUGAAAUUCUUGGAUCGUCGCAAGACGAACUACUGCGAAAGCAUUUGCCAAGAAUGUUUUCAUUAAUCAAGAACGAAAGUUAGAGGUUCGAAGGCGAUCAGAUACCGCCCUAGUUCUAACCAUAAACGAUGUCGACCGGCGAUCCGUUAUCGUUAACUGAAUGACUUAACGGGCAGCCUCCGGGAAACCAGAGUGUUUGGAUUCCGGGGGAAGUAUGGUUGCAAAGCUGAAACUUAAAAGAAUUGACGGAAGGGCACCACCAGGAGUGGAGCCUGCGGCUUAAUUUGACCCAACACGGGAAAUCUCACCAGGCCCGGACACCGGAAGGAUUGACAGAUUGAGAGCUCUUUCUUGAUUCGGUGGGUGGUGGUGCAUGGCCGUUCUUAGUUGGUGGAGCGAUUUGUCUGGUUAAUUCCGAUAACGAACGAGACUCUGGCCUACUAACUAGACGUUAGAUCC
rnacentral:rRNA from 1 species